AUCUGCUUCUACCAUGACCAGCACAGCUCUCCAGGUUUCAAGGUUCUCUUUGCUCUGAGAUCUGGAUUUGAGUGAACAACAGUGUGCUGAGCCCUCCAGAGCGUCUUUAUGAUUCUAUGUACAAGAGAUGAGUCAUUGAAAAUGGAAAACAGUACCCGUGUCACCUGCAUGGCACAUGGUGUUAACCUCCUCUGCUGCCAUGAGUUCAUACAGACAGCAUAAUGAGGUGGGAUACAGAAAAGCUUUAUCCAGAAUAAAACGUGACCCUCAGUGAUGGAAGAACAACCCAAGAACACAUUUCCACGUUGUUGAAAAUGGACACGAUUGCCUCUGCUCUCUACUUAAAGAUCAUGGGAGAGUCCCAAGAUGUCUUCCCUUUCCGUGAAUAUGAAUCAGACCUCAGGUAUAGACCCCGAAUGAUCUGUCAUUCUGGAUUUCCUUCUCUGUGCGGGAGCAGGCAACUGUGACACACAACUCGGAGUAGAGUCCAUUACACAGAAGACACGGGAAGCAGCUACGGAUGGAAUAGAACGUUCUAACCAGAGGGCCUAGCCAUCUGAGCACUCUUCAUUUGUAGAGCCUUUCCACAGUCCUUCUCUAGAUUAGACCUGGGGGAUCUCAGCAGAAACCAGAACUCUAGUUACAAGUUUUCUCCAUGACUCUGCUGGGGGAAGUCAAAAUGACAACCUUUAUGCCUCUCCCUGCUUCCUGUAGCACCCCCACUGUGAGUGUUGUGUGAAUGAAUGAAAGUCCCCCUGCCCCACCCCC
ensembl:processed_transcript 4930438E09Rik uncharacterized LOC110309096